GGGAUUGUGGCUUAGUGGUAGAGCACUUGCCUAGCGUGUGUGAGGCACUGGGUUCAAGUCUCAGCACCCCA
rnacentral:tRNA from 1 species